rnacentral:ribozyme from 1 species
AAGAAGCUUAAUUCUGUAAAAGAGUUGGAUCCGACGCCCCUAGAAGGCUCCUAAAGGAUCUCCUUCUCUACUCCUACUCAAUACGUCCACGACGUGCAGAACGGUAACUUGUCGCCUAGAUCCAAGCUUGGGUAC